AUAUACUUAAAAAAAUAAUAAAAAAAAGAAAUGAUACAGAGAAGGCUAGCAUGAUCCUCUGUGCAAGGAUGACCUGUAAAUUCAUGAUGCAUUCCAUAUUAGG